AUGCUUCGACUUCCCAAAGAACCUGAAAGUCCCCAGGGAAUGCCCUGGUGCUGGGAGGCAUAAGGGGAUGGGGAAAAGGACAAUGGGUUUAAGAAGUCGGUGUUGUGUUGAAACAGAAUGGAGGGGGGUUUUCACCGCAGUGGAUUUCUCUGGUCCUGAGCCUGUGGUGGCAGACGUGUUGAAGGUAGGACAAGAGAUGGGCAUGGUUAGAUAACCUUUCUUGAGUUUGCAAGCCUCCAAUACUGUCCUUGUCUGCUCGGCUUCUAACUGCCCUAAGGUAGGGCUGACAAAGUAACUUCAAAUUUUGGACACCAGGACACAGCUUGUACUAAGAAGAAAUCACCUGUUUGGGGCUGCGGAUGUAGCUUAGUUAGUGGAAUGCUUGCUUAGCAUGGUUGAAGCCCUGGGAUUUGAUCUGAGUACCACAUAAAGCCGGACAUGGUAAUACACAGCAGUAGUCCCGGCACCCGGGAGGUGAGGAAGCGCUAGACCAAGGGCAGAUAGGUGAUACUCUGUCUCAAAAACAAGACAAAACCAGGACCCAAAGGAAAACAACCUGAACUAGCCAAAUAAACGAACAACAACAACAACAACAAAAAAAAAAUCCACAAACGUGUGUUUUCCCCCCAUCCUGAAAUUAAAUUUUAAUCGGUUGUCCUACGUUUUUACUUGCUAACUUCGUUUCAACCUAGUAUCCCUUCCUUUUCCAGAAAAGGAAAAUCCAGCCCCACAAAUAGAAUGCGGCAGGGUCAGAGAGACAGACUCCAGGCCUGGCAGAGUCACUGGAUAUGCAUGGAUGCGCCUUGGUAACGCUGGUCUUUAUGACAGAGGCCUUGCAUCAGCCGCCCACGUGUUAGGGAGGGGCUCUUUGUGAUUAUCAGGGGUUUCUAUGCCACCCUUUAUUACUGUUAGCAUGGGAACCAAGCUCAAAGGAGCACAGGCAAACCUAUUAUAGAGACCGCGAGGGUACCACGUUCCUCCCAGUUCAAAAGCCCAAAUGGGUAGGACCGUGAGGCCUCUGUAAGUCAUCUUCACUCUUCCGGUCGUGGUUUUUAUAUUGACCAACUGGCUGGCCCCUGCACCCCUUGUUCAACUCCAGUGAACCUGAGUCAGGCACGUAGCCAAGGGGGCCACUGGAAGCAACUUGAAAAGGACUCUACACAGUGAUUCUCUCUACUCCUAUAGCUGUGAAAGUGGCUGGCAUGACACCAUGGAUCCACUACACCCAGAUCAAGAAAACAAAAGCCGUGGAUGCUGCUGCCAAAUGGACUGUCUCUGGACCAUGAGCUCAUUGAAAUCAAGUAAUCGUCGGGGUUCAGGAAUCACCACACAAACCGUACAAACACUGAUCUCAGUUAAGCAAGAAGAGUUUAUUGAAUGCACGCCCCAAGACUGACGGAUCGUGACGACAAGAAGAAUUUGGACGGAUCCACCAGAGAUCCUCCGGAGAGACUGGCAAGAAAUUAGAAAAGCAGGAAGAAGAAAGAUGUAUUCCGCAUAGUUCUGACCUCGGAGGCCAUGGUGGCUGCCCCAUCAGCACUAGGAAUGGGUGUAACUGGGUUUCGGGAGUCCCAGUAGGUCUCCUCUACCUCUGGCAAUCUACCACCAACUGUGAAUGUGCAUCAGAAGUAAAGCAGCUGCUCUAUCCUA